AUUUAAGAGGACAUUGCUUCUCACCUGCAGUCAACACACAACUCAGCCUUACCCAUGACUUUGAAUUCAGAACUGAGCAGUUCUUACUGCCUGUUGCUCCAGCUGUUACAACAGGUCAACGAAUGUGACACCAAAAUGCAAGUUCUCCACAUUAUUUCCUGUGUCAUCGAGAGAGUCAGCAGCCAAGACACUACUUGUCUUUGCACACUGAAAAACACAUAUUGAUGUCAUAUCAUUACCAGACCAUGCUGACAGAGGACAAGGCCACAACCUGCUUUGAAAAUAACCUUUAGCUAUUGCGUGAGCCUUGACUCGGAGACAUUUGAUGAAUGACAUUUAUUUUCGUCAUGUUAGACUGACUCGUGAUUUAAGCUUUGUUCAGUCAAACAUGCAUAAAUUACAUAAAAGGCGGUCAGACCAUGUGUGUAUGUUGGAAGUAACCUUCCAUGUCAAGUUUGCACAGCACAGGAGAUAUUUAAUGCCCUAUCGAAUGAUUUAGUGC